rnacentral:rRNA from 1 species
UACGUAGGCAGCAAGCGUUGUUCGGAAUUACUGGGCGUAAAGGGUGCGUAGGCGGUCUUCUAAGUCUGGUGUGAAAUCUCCCGGCUCAACUGGGAGGGUGCGCCGGAAACUGGGAGGCUAGAGUGCGGGAGGGGAAAGUGGAAUUCCUGGUGUAGCGGUGAAAUGCGUAGAUAUCAGGAGGAACACCGGUGGUGUAGACGGCUUUCUGGACCGCAACUGACGCUGAGGCACGAAAGCGUGGGUAGCAAACAGG